rnacentral:rRNA from 1 species
GACGAACGCUGGCGGCGUGCCUAACACAUGCAAGUCGAACGAGGUCCAUCCUUCGGGAGAAGACCUAGUGGCGAACGGGUGAGUAACACGUGAAGAACCUGCCCCGAAGACCGGGAUAACCCUCCGAAAGGAGAGCUAAUACCGGAUACCCCCACCGAACCGCAUGGUUUGGUGAGGAAAUGGAUUCCGCUUCGGGAGGGGCUUCGCGGCCUAUCAGCUAGUUGGUGGGGUAACGGCCCACCAAGGCAUCGACGGGUAGCUGGUCUGAGAGGACGAUCAGCCACACUGGGACUGAGACACGGCCCAGACUCCUACGGGAGGCAGCAGUGGGGAAUCUUGCGCAAUGGGCGAAAGCCUGACGCAGCAACGCCGCGUGGGGGAUGAAGGCUCUCGGGUUGUAAACCCCUUUCAGCAGGGACGAAUCAAGACGGUACCUGCAGAAGGAAGCCCCGGCUAACUACGUGCCAGCAGCCGCGGUAAU